CCAAUUUUUGUCAACCAGUUGUCACAAAAUUUGGAAGCAAUUUCGAAAAUUGCAUGUUACGCUGAGUGAAAAAAGAAGUACGAGUGUUUAAUUUAAAAUUCGGGUCACGGGCGAAGUGGGUUAAAUUUUGUCGUCUUGAUCUUCGGCAAGGAUUUACGUUAUCGAUUGGCGCGUCCUGAAAUGGCUGCAAUUGAAGAGAAAUUAUACAGAGGUUAACCAGUGUAAUUGGGACGUAAUUGAUUACACUUAAUUGCUCCUCUGUCAAUGCAUCGGAAACAUAACCACGAAUCAAGCAAGUUCAAUACACAUAUUUUUCUGCCGGAUUAACGUAAUUUAUGUGUGUCUGACGUAAACGAAGAUUAAUUACUAAAUGUACAAUUAAACUCAGGGAAUGAUUAAUCAGAAAAUCUUUAGCACGGCAUUAGUUUGAAAAUGAAAAAUUUGUUACGGAAGUUGUUGGAAUUUAACGACGCGGGAACAAGCGGUACCAUCAUAUUUAGCUAAUAAAUAAAAUAUUUGUGUAAAAAGGGACACCUUGUGUGCUUAAGCAUGAAUUAGAAAUGGUCGCGCAUUGUGUGCGUCUAUUUUUAGCCUCGUAUCGUUGAACAUGUUUGAAAUAUUUGUGAUAGCUGUCCAUGAAGAUGUUAAAUGGAGGCUCCGGCUAAAAAUGAUUAAAUUCUUUGUUGAAAAUGUUAAAAUGCAUCGGCGGCAACAGGUGCCCCCGAUAACACUAUGGCUGCCGUCAAUUAUUUACCGGAAAUUCGGCCGAUUUUUUUCGUGAAGGCAAUUCAAAGUGCAAUGCACCAGCUCGCACAGGAAUCCCGUUUCCAAGAGUUAUAGCCAGGAAAAUAGUUUUUGUUCGAAACCUUCAAAAGUGGCUCCGAGGUCAGACUCGAAGAAUAACAAAAAUACAAAGAAUUUUUUUGGACGUUUUAUUGCCAACGAACAAUAGAGGCUUUUUUCGGCACGAAGCUCUAUUUUCAGAAGCAUUCGACGGGGUAUUUGUACCUACACGGUGCUAAAAAUCGUACUCCGAUGGGACACAAUUAAGAAACUUUCGCCUCAAGGAUUGAUCCGUAAAUCACGAAACUUAUGAGUAAAUUGCAUUAGAAAGUUUUGAAUAAUAUUGGGCAGACUCCGACGGAAGACUUGAGUUAUGGGACGCGAUGCGCGGCCUCAUAAACUUGACAAAAUCGCCCCGAAUUAAAUUUAUUUUAAACGGAAUU